rnacentral:rRNA from 1 species
CCUACGGGAGGCAGCAGUGAGGAAUAGUGGUCAAUGGACGGAAGUCUGAACCAGCCAUGCCGCGUGCAGGAAGACGGCGCUAUGAGUUGUAAACUGCUUUUGUACAAGGGUAAACCGGAAUACGUGUAUGCAGCUGAAAGUACGGUACGAAGAAGGAUCGGCUAACUCCGUGCCAGCAGCCGCGGUAAUACGGAGGAUCCAAGCGUUAUCCGGAUUGAUUGGGUUUAAAGGGUGCGUAGGCGGAUUGAUAAGUUAGAGGUGAAAUGUCCGAGCUUAACUCGGGAACUGCCUCUAAUACUGUUGCUCUAGAGCGUAGCUGCGGUCGGCGGCAUGUCUUGUGUCGCGGUGAAAUGCUUA